UGUAUUUGAGUCAUCAGAAAAGCACAUGGUCUGUAUCUGAGCUGGUGAGCUACAUUUGAAAUUUCACUAUUUCAUGCAUGAUGAACACCACUGUAAAUCUAAGGUCUGCAAAUGUCCAGAAUGGAAGGGCUCACCCAGAAGGUAAAGCUUCCACGUGCACAAAAGGAAA